CACAGCAGCCAUAUCACCCUGCAGCUCUCAACUGGUUACCCACAGAAGCUAAGCAGGGUUGAACCUGGUCAGUGCCUGGAUUGGAGAACUCCUGGGAAGCUAUGGUUGCUGCAGGAA
rnacentral:rRNA from 1 species